rnacentral:rRNA from 1 species
GAUGAACGCUGGCGGCGUGCCUAAUACAUGCAAGUCGAGCGAACGGACGAGAAGCUUGCUUCUCUGAUGUUAGCGGCGGACGGUUGAGUAACACGUGGAUAACUUACCUAUAAGACUGGGAUAACUUCGGGAAACCGGAGCUAAUACCGGAUAAUAUUUUGAACCGCAUGGUUCAAAAGUGAAAGACGGUCUUGCUGUCACUUAUAGAUGGAUCCGCGCUGCAUUAGCUAGUUGGUAAGGUAACGGCUUACCAAGGCAACGAUGCAUAGCCGACCUGAGAGGGUGAUCGGCCACACUGGAACUGAGACACGGUCCAGACUCCUACGGGAGGCAGCAGUAGGGAAUCUUCCGCAAUGGGCGAAAGCCUGACGGAGCAACGCCGCGUGAGUGAUGAAGGUCUUCGGAUCGUAAAACUCUGUUAUUAGGGAAGAACAUAUGUGUAAGUAACUGUGCACAUCUUGACGGUACCUAAUCAGAAAGCCACGGCUAACUACGUG